rnacentral:rRNA from 1 species
GAGUUUGAUUCUGGCUCAGGAUGAACGCUAGCGGGAGGCCUAACACAUGCAAGCCGAGCGGGAUUUGUUGGUUAGCUUGCUAACUAACAAUGAGAGCGGCGUACGGGUGCGUAACACGUGUGCAACCUGCCUUUAUCUGGGGGAUAGCCUUUCGAAAGGAAGAUUAAUACCCCAUAAUAUAUUGAUUGGCAUCAAUUAAUAUUGAAAGCUCCGGCGGAUAGAGAUGGGCACGCGUAAGAUUAGCUAGUUGGUGAGGUAACGGCUCACCAAGGCUGCGAUCUUUAGGGGGCCUGAGAGGGUGAUCCCCCACACUGGUACUGAGACACGGACCAGACUCCUACGGGAGGCAGCAGUGAGGAAUAUUGGACAAUGGGUGAGAGCCUGAUCCAGCCAUCCCGCGUGAAGGACUAAGGAANANUAGUGGUUUGUAAACUUCUUUUAUACAGGGAUAAACCCUACUCUCGUGAGG